GAUGAACGCUGGCGGCGUGCCUAAUACAUGCAAGUCGAGCGAACAGAUGAGGAGCUUGCUCCUCUGACGUUAGCGGCGGACGGGUGAGUAACACGUGGAUAACCUACCUAUAAGACUGGGAUAACUUCGGGAAACCGGAGCUAAUACCGGAUAAUAUAUUGAACCGCAUGGUUCAAUAGUGAAAGACGGUUUUGCUGUCACUUAUAGAUGGAUCCGCGCGGCAUUAGCUAGUUGGUAAGGUAACGGCUUACCAAGGCGACAAUGAGUAGCCGACCUGCGAGGGUGAGCGGCCACACUGGAACUGAGACACGGUCCAGACUCCUACGGGAGGUCGCAGUAGGGAAUCUGCCGCAAGGGGCGAAAGCCUGACGGAGCAACGCCGCGUGAGUGAUGAAGGUCUUCGGAUCGUAAAACUCUGUUAUGAGGGAAGAACAAAUGUGUAAGUACCUAUGCACGUCUUGACGGUACCUAAUCAGAAAGCCACGGCUAACUACGUG
rnacentral:rRNA from 1 species